UACGGGGGGGGCAAGCGUUGUUCGGAAUUACUGGGCGUAAAGCGCGCGUAGGCGGCUCGGAAAGUCGGGCGUGAAAUGCCGGGGCUCAACCCCGGGACUGCGUCCGAUACUUCCGAGCUGGAGGUAGGUAGGGGAGAUCGGAAUUCCUGGUGUAGCGGUGAAAUGCGCAGAUAUCAGGAGGAACACCGGUGGCGAAGGCGGCAUCCUGGACCGGCAUUGACGCUGAGGCGCGAAAGCUAGGGGAGCAAACGGG
rnacentral:rRNA from 1 species